rnacentral:rRNA from 1 species
GCACUUAGCUGUGACGUUACUUACAGAAGAAGCACCGGCUAACUCCGUGCCAGCAGCCGCGGUAAUACGGAGGGUGCGAGCGUUAAUCGGAAUUACUGGGCGUAAAGCGUACGCAGGCGGUUUGUUAAGCGAGAUGUGAAAGACCCCGGGGCUCAACCUGGGAACUGCAUUUCGAACUGGCAAACUAGAGUGUGAUAGAGGGUGGUAGAAUUUCAGGUGUAGCGGUGAAAUGCGUAGAGAUCUGAAGGAAUACCGAUGGCGAAGGCAGCCACCUGGGUCAACACUGACGCUCAUGUAACGAAAGCGUGGGGAGCAAACAGGAUUAGAUACCCUGGUAG